ACCACCUGAUCCCAUCCCGAACUCAGAAGUGAAAAGCGCCAUCGCCGAUGGUAGUGUGGGAGAUCCCAUGUGAGAGUAGGUCGUCGUCAAGC
rnacentral:rRNA from 1 species